UCGUUUUUGAUGUCGAGGGUCCACAGGAAAUUCAGAUCUCAUUGUGUCUCUUCUUAAGAAGUAGCACAGCUGGCAACAUGGUCUUUAUUUGGCUUAUGAUGAUUUUUAGCCUCAAUCAAACUUGUCACACCUACUCGGCGCACCUCAGUCAGCCUGCUUCAGUAGUGGUAGCUAAAUCUGGUGAUAAUGUCACUCUACGGUGCUCGUUCCCAAAAGACUUCAAUAUUUACUCUGUGUUCUGGUACAAGCAAAAACCAGGCAAGCAGCCGUAUCCUGUCGUAACAGCACGGGCAGUCAGUGACCCCAUAUUUCAUGACGAGUUUAACAGCUCACGUUUCAGGGUCAGUAAGUCAGAAAGCAGUCUUUUUCUGCACAUCAGAAAUGUACAUGUCUCGGAUGAAGCGGUUUAUUAUUGUGGAGUACUGAUGUUCUUUGAAAUUACGUUUGGAAAUGGGUCACUUUUGACUGUCGACAGAUUCACUACUAAUGGAGACAAAACAAAUCAUCUUAUUCCAAUUGUCAUCUUCCAGUUUGGAGUAAAAGGCAUCUUAGGGAUAUACAUUACAUAUCUCUGCCUUAGGUCUAUAGGAAAUUAAUGUAUGUAAUUUUUUAUAAUCUGUGUGUUUAAAAUAUUUAAAAUAUGUAGCAUUUUAAAAGUUGUACAUACAUACACACAUAUAAACAUAAACAUGUAUGCAUCUGUCUGUCCUGCACAGAUCGGAUUUGGAUCAAAGAUUUGAACGACUUUGUCUUUGUUUGAAUUUGUCUGUUGUCAAAUGUUAAGGGUGAGUCUAGUUUGUCUAAUGAGUUCAUAAAGUCUUGUGGUGAGUCCUUUAGUAAUGAGUGUUGUCUGAAGUCAUAAGGUAAUAUUUCUCAUCACUUUUAUUAUCUCAAUUUUUUGCAGUAAAUUUCUCUUUGAAAAUCUGCAACAAGAAAUGAUUGUUUAGUAUGUAAGCUUAAAUUACAUUAGACUGACACAGGGAAGUAAAUUAUCCAAGAAAGAGAAGAAUCAUACUUUGUUCCUUUUUCUUUAUUAACCUCAUCUGACAAUUAAAAAAACAAUAAUGUUCAUA